GUGAAUCAUCAAAUUUUUGAACGCAAAUUGCGCUUCCUGGCAUCCCGGGAAGUAUGCCUGUUUGAGGGUCAGUAUUAACAAAAAAUCGGUUUGGGUGCGAGGUGUGACGUUUCCGGAGUUUGGGCUAUCUUAACUUUUUGGGUUGAGGUGCUUAGAAUUGACCUUUUUUGCGCAUUUUUAGACGUACAUAAAUUUUUUUUUUAUUCGGUUAGUCUUA
rnacentral:misc_RNA from 1 species